rnacentral:rRNA from 1 species
GAUGAACGCUGGCGGCGUGCCUAAUACAUGCAAGUCGAGCGAACAGACGAGGAGCUUGCUCCUCUGACGUUAGCGGCGGACGGGUGAGUAACACGUGGAUAACCUACCUAUAAGACUGGGAUAACUUCGGGAAACCGGAGCUAAUACCGGAUAAUAUAUUGAACCGCAUGGUUCAAUAGUGAAAGACGGUCUUGCUGUCACUUAUAGAUGGAUCCGCGCUGCAUUAGCUAGUUGGUAAGGUAACGGCUUACCAAGGCAACGAUGCGUAGCCGACCUGAGAGGGUGAUCGGCCACACUGGAACUGAGACACGGUCCAGACUCCUACGGGAGGCAGCAGUAGGGAAUCUUCCGCAAUGGGCGAAAGCCUGACGGAGCAACGCCGCGUGAGUGAUGAAGGUCUUCGGAUCGUAAAACUCGGUUAUUAGGGAAGAACAUAUGUGUAAGUAACUAUGCACGUCUUGACGGUACCUAAUCAGAAAGCCACGGCUAACUACGUG